CAUACUCGCGGGGUCAUUGUCGCCCGCGGGGUGCGGAAGCCGGUGUGAGUCCGGCACGGUCGCGCCACUGUGAGGACCCCUGUGGGUCCGAGUCAGACCCGGCUGCGCGGGAGACCCCUU
rnacentral:ncRNA from 2 species